GAUGAACGCUGGCUACAGGCUUAACACAUGCAAGUCGAAGGGCAGCAUGCCGGUUGCUUGCAACCGGUGAUGGCGACCGGCGCACGGGUGAGUAACGCGUAUCCAACCUUCCCGCGACCAAGGGAUAACCUGCCGAAAGGCAGACUAAUACCUUAUGUCCUCCUUUGAAGGCAUCUGACGAGGAGCAAAGAUCCGUCGGUCACGGAUGGGGAUGCGUCCGAUUAGCUUGUUGGCGGGGCAACGGCCCACCAAGGCUUCGAUCGGUAGGGGUUCUGAGAGGAAGGCCCCCCACACUGGAACUGAGACACGGUCCAGACUCCUACGGGAGGCAGCAGUGAGGAAUAUUGGUCAAUGGGCGGAAGCCUGAACCAGCCAAGUAGCGUGCAGGACGACGGCCCUACGGGUUGUAAACUGCUUUUAUGCGGGGAUAAAGUUGCCCACGCGUGGGUUUUUGCAGGUACCGCAUGAAUAAGGACCGGCUAAUUCCGUGCCAGCAGCCGCGGUAAUACGGAAGGUCCGGGCGUUAUCCGGAUUUAUUGGGUUUAAAGGGAGCGCAGGCCGCCGUGCAAGCGUGCCGUGAAAAGCAGCGGCCCAACCGCUGCCCUGCGGCGCGAACUGCUUGGCUUGAGUGCGCCGGAAGCGGGCGGAAUUCGUGGUGUAGCGGUGAAAUGCUUAGAUAUCACGAAGAACCCCGAUUGCGAAGGCAGCCCGCUGUGGCGCCACUGACGCUGAGGCUCGAAGGUGCGGGUAUCGAACAGG
rnacentral:rRNA from 1 species